rnacentral:rRNA from 1 species
UUGAUAGUACCUUACUACUUGGAUAACCGUGGUAAUUCUAGAGCUAAUACAUGCUAAAAACCUCGACUUCGGAAGGGGUGUAUUUAUUAGAUAAAAAACCAAUGCCCUUCGGGGCUCACUGGUGAUUCAUAAUAACUUAACGAAUCGCAUGGCCUUGUGCCGGCGAUGGUUCAUUCAAAUUUCUGCCCUAUCAACUUUCGAUGGUAGGAUAGUGGCCUACCAUGGUUUCAACGGGUAACGGGGAGUUAGGGCUCGACUCCGGAGAGGGAGCCUGAGAAACGGCUACCACAUCCAAGGAAGGCAGCAGGCGCGCAAAUUAUCCAAUCCCGACACGGGGAGAUAGUGACAAUAAAUACUGAUACAGGGCUCUUUUGGGUCUUGUAAUUGGAAUGAGUACAAUUUAAAUCCCUUAACGAGGAACAAUUGGAGGGCAAGUCUGGUGCCAGCAGCCGCGGUAAUUCCAGCUCCAAUAGCGUAUAUUAAAGUUGUUGCAGUUAAAAAGCUCGUAGUUGAACCUUGGGCCUGGUUGGCCGGUCCGCCUCACCGCGUGCACUGGACCGACCGGGCCUUUCCUUCUGUGGAUCGGCAUGUCCUUCACUGGAUGUGCUCGGGAAGCAGGACUUUUACUUUGAAAAAAUUAGAGUGUUCAAAGCAGGCCUAUGCUCGAAUACAUUAGCAUGGAAUAAUAAAAUAGGACGUGUGGUUCUAUUUUGUUGGUUUCUAGGACCGCCGUAAUGAUUAAUAGGGUCAGUUGGGGUCAUCAGUAUUGCGUUGUCAGAGGUGAAAUUCUUGGAUUUACGCAAGACUAACUACUGCGAAAGCAUUUGACAAAGAUGUUUUCAUUAAUCAGUGAACGAAAGUUAGGGGAUCGAAGACGAUCAGAUACCGUCGUAGUCUUAACCAUAAACUAUGCCGACUAGGGAUCGGGCGAUGUUAUCUUUUUGACUCGCUCGGCACCUCACGAGAAAUCAAAGUCUUUGGGUUCUGGGGGGAGUAUGGUCGCAAGGCUGAAACUUAAAGAAAUUGACGGAAAGGCACCACCAGGCGUGGAACCUGCGGCUUAAUUUGACUCAACACGGGGAAACUCACCAGGUCCAGACACAAUAAGGAUUGACAGAUUGAGAGCUCUUUCUUGAUUUUGUGGGUGGUGGUGCAUGGCCGUUCUUAGUUGGUGGAGUGAUUUGUCUGCUUAAUUGCGAUAACGAACGAGACCUUAACCUGCUAAAUAGCCAGGCUAGCUUUGGCUGGUCGCCGGCUUCUUAGAGGGACUAUCGGCUCAAGCCGAUGGAAGUUUGAGGCAAUAACAGGUCUGUGAUGCCCUUAGAUGUCCUGGGCUGCACGCGCGUUACACUGACAGGGCCAACGAGUUCAUCACCUUGGCCGAAAGGCCUGGGUAAUCUUGUUAAACCCUGUCGUGCUGGGGA